UUUCAUCAUCUUCCUCUCCAUCUAAAUCAUAUAUGAAUCGCGAAUCGGCUCUGAGGUUACGAUCUAAAUCAAAUGAUUCGCGAAUCGGCUCUGAAGUUACGAUCUAAAUCAAAUGAUUCGCGAAUCGGCUCUGAUUGCGAUCUAAAUCAAAUGAUUCGCGAAUCGGCUCUGAGGUUGCGAUCUAAAUCAAAUGAUUCGCGAAUCGGCUCUGAAGUGACGAUAUAAAUCAAAUGAUUCGCGAAUCGGCUCUGAAGUGACGAUCUAAUUCAUAUGAAUCGCGAAUCGGCUCUGUUGCGAUCUAAAUCAUAUGAAUCGCGAAUCGGCUCUGAAGUGACGAUCUUAAUCAUAUGAAUCGCGAAUCGGCUCUGAAGUUACGAUCUAAAUCAUAUGAAUCGCGAAUCGGCUCUGAAGUGACGAUCUAAAUCAAAUGAUUCGCGAAUCGGCUCUGAGGUUGCGAUCUAAAUCAAAUGAUUCGCGAAUUGGCUCUGCAGC
ensembl:lncRNA